UGGGGAAUUUUGGACAAUGGGGGCAACCCUGAUCCAGCCAUGCCGCGUGAGUGAAGAAGGCCUUCGGGUUGUAAAGCUCUUUUCGGCCGGGAAGAAAUCGCGCCAGCUAAUACCUGGUGUGGAUGACGGUACCGGAAGAAGAAGCACCGGCUAACUACGUGCCAGCAGCCGCGGUAAUACGUAGGGUGCGAGCGUUAAUCGGAAUUACUGGGCGUAAAGCGUGCGCAGGCGGUUUUGUAAGACAGGUGUGAAAUCCCCGGGCUUAACCUGGGAACUGCGCUUGUGACUGCAAGACUUGAGUGCGGCAGAGGGGGUGGAAUUCCGACGUGUAGCAGUGAAAUGCGUAGAGAUGUGAGGAACACCGAUGGCGAAGGCAGCCCCCUGGGUCGACGACUGACGCUC
rnacentral:rRNA from 1 species